CCAGUUGACCGGGCGGCCGCUCCGCUCAGGCGGGGAGGAAAGUCCGGGCUCCAUCGAAAUACGGUGCCGGAUAACGUCCGGCGGGGGCGACCCCAGGGAAAGUGCCACAGAAAGCAAACCGCCCGGCUCCGGCCGGGCAAGGGUGAAAGGGUGCGGUAAGAGCGCACCGCGGCCCCGGCAACGGGGACGGCAGGGUAAACCCCACCGGGAGCAAGACCAAAUAGGGAUGACGCGGGUUUAGGCCCGGCCGGUUUUCGAGGCCAGUCAUCCGGGUUGGUUGCAUGAGGGCGCCGGCAACGGCGUUCCCAGAUGAAUGGUCGCCACGUCGAGGAAACUCGGCCCUACAGAACCCGGCUUACAGGUCAACUGGCGUC
rnacentral:RNase_P_RNA from 1 species